rnacentral:rRNA from 1 species
UACGGGGGGGGCAAGCGUUGUUCGGAUUUACUGGGCGUAAAGGGCUCGUAGGCGGCCAACUAAGUCAGACGUGAAAUCCCCAGGCUCAACCUGGGAACUGCGUCUGAUACUGGAUGGCUUGAAUCCGGGAGAGGGAUGCAGAAUUCCAGGUGUAGCGGUGAAAUGCGUAGAUAUCUGGAGGAAUACCGGUGGCGAAGGCGGCAUCCUGGACCGGCAUUGACGCUGAGGAGCGAAAGCCAGGGGAGCAAACGGG